CUGGAGAGCCGGGGGGAGGUGGGGUCGCUCGGACAGGGGAGGGGGGAGAUGGCGGUGAGAGCACCAAAAGGACGUAGGUCUGGUGUUUGGGAGGUUGAGGUCUGGUGGUGGUAGCGGGGCUCGGAUGAGGGGGAGGUGUGGCCCGAGGAGGACCAUUCUAUUUAGACACGUCUUCUCUGUGGGACUGGGUUGCUUGGUGAGGGACGAGGGUGAGAGCGGUGCAGUACGAGACAGGGUGAAUAGGUUUCUGGAAGACCAGCCGUUCAGGUUAGUGGCGGUAAGGGGGAGGCGCCGCGCGGGCUACAAUCCCCCCCCUGCAGUUUUCUGGAGGGUCUAGGAGCUGUGUGUCGUGGCAACGCUAACGCUUUUGUGGUUUCGCCGGACUAUCCCGGGCCCCUGCAGUGGUGAUCAGGCUUGUGCGGGAUCCCUUUUCUUUAUAAGGCUACUUUCUCCCCUGGACCAGCCCAGGAAGGGACAGGUGGUGGAGGUCAGUUGUUUUAAGGUGGUUGCAAGACGUCUUGUGGUGUUGAGCUCUCUUAGCCUUUCUCUCUUGGAGGUUUUUUGUUGGCCUGUUAGGUAUAUCAGGAGCCCUCCCCUGCCGGGACUGCCCUAACCGAAUUAUUGUUUGUUUGUUUGUUUUCCCUUCGAAUCCCGUUUUCGUUGGUGGUGUUUUGGGAGGUUGUUUCAGAGAGCCUUUGACUUUGCCCUAGCUGAGACUUGUGGACUCGCUCUAGCGGGACCUGAGAGCCCAUCGUGGUGUAUUCACUGCAGCGCCAUCCCCGGAUGGAGUGGCUGCGGAGUGGCUGCGUAGAGUGUUGGCAGUCUGAGUCGGGGUCGGGAGCACACAAGACUAACCGACUUGUGGUGUGUGCUCCCGACCCUUGCGCUGUGUUUCGGCUUCGGCCCCCGGCUCUCGCAGCCCACAGUGUAAUCUAAGUCAUACAUACAUACAUGCAUACAUGCAUACAUGCAUACAUGCAUACAUGCAUACAUGCAUACAUGCAUACAUGCAUACAUGCAUACAUGCAUACAUGCAUACAUGCAUACAUGCAUACAUGCAUACAUACAUACAUAUGUAUGGAUGAGACCAAGCUUGACUAAGCUGCUACUAUGACCGUCGGCCAACCGCGGCCGUGGCCACCGACAGCGACCUCAAUUGUUUGNNNNNNNNNNNNNNNNNNNNNNNNNNNNNNNNNNNNNNNNNNNNNNNNNNNNNNNNNNNNNNNNNNNNNNNNNNNNNNNNNNNNNNNNNNNNNNNNNNNNNNNNNNNNNNNNNNNNNNNNNNNNNNNNNNNNNNNNNNNNNNNNNNNNNNNNNNNNNNNNNNNNNNNNNNNNNNNNNNNNNNNNNNNNNNNNNNNNNNNNNNNNNNNNNNNNNNNNNNNNNNNNNNNNNNNNNNNNNNNNNNNNNNNNNNNNNNNNNNNNNNNNNNNNNNNNNNNNNNNNNNNNNNNNNNNNNNNNNNNNNNNNNNNNNNNNNNNNNNNNNNNNNNCACGGUUGCUUUAUCCGAUGGGAAGGGAACGGCACAUUGUGAUGGAACUCUCCAUCCUUGAGCCAAAAGGAGGUUUAGCAGUGUUGACAGCGGCCAGGCGCAUCGUUAACGGGCGAUUGCGCGUGCCUGGGGUGCAAUUGACCCCGAACAUGGAGCCGAUGGAAGUGGAGCUGCUGGUGAAGAACCAGCAACAGGCUAAGCCCAUUGUGUGGGAGGUGAGAGGCGUCCCGGUCGGCCUCAGCUGUCAGGGCACGGCCGACUUCCUCCCCGGGCAUACCGGGCAAACCCCAGUCCCCAGGACGUGACGGAAUUCUCGCUCCUGGCCCCCACGACGAUGGCCGACACGUGGAGUGCUGGAGCUUACCAGCAAUCGCGGCCUUCCACGAGAACUCCCGUUUGAAUACGGGGAGCCAUCGGAGGCGUGCCACCAGAAGUGGCACCCUUCAAGCGAUCAGGAAGACCCCCCUGGAAGGGGAACCUUUCCUGAUGCCCCAGCCACCCCCGCGAGCAGCACUCGCCCAGCAGCAAAGGGGAGACGGGGCGGCAACAAGCACCCGCCCAGGCCACAGUGGGCAGGGGAUGGGAGUUGUUGUGGCACACUUGCAUAUUAACCCUCGGAUCUUUCCCCAAUUCUCUGGCACUUUGCCGCUGGGCAAUAUCUUCGCUCUUAUUUGGUUAACCAUUGGGCACUUGCCUAUCUCUUGGGCGCUGGCCCACCUUUAAGCGGGCAAUUGCCUGUCUUUAUCACGCGUGAAACUGGAUUAUAGCGCUCUUGCUAUAAUCGUGACACUUGUCACUGGUAGACCCACUUGGGUUACGAUUGCACCGAUUGGUGAUAAUUCGCGUUGACGACUAUAUCUUCGGACCGUACAGACUUCUGUACGGGUCGUCCUAACGCAGAGGCAUUUAGCCUCUUCUCAUUCACUAAUCGGUAGUUUUCACUACCACCUAAACAGUGGAGGUGGAUACAACAAGUGGUAUCGAGAUGUUCGGUCUCGACCAGCUCUUCCGCACCCAUCUCGAUUGUUAGUAAAGGUCAUAGGCUUACAGUGUUGGAGUGCUCGCGGCGGCUCUUCUGGGUAAGUGAAAGAUCGUAAUCAUCUGUAUUGUUUUGUCCUUGGUUGCCUCGCUCAUUGUUGUUGCAGAGGUUAGAAUGGGUGUGCUGGACCCGACUGAGGUAGAGCCGCUACUUCAAGCUCUCCCCCUAUCCGCGGCAGUGACUGCGUCAUUGCUGUAUUAGGGUAGGCCCUUCUCAGUUAGCUAAAAUGUUUAGCCCCGCCCCGUUUAAUUUGGGCGGCGACCGUAAUGGCGUAGACAUGGCGUCGGGCGCACCUGAUGCUCGUUCCACUUUGCCUGCCUACGCUGUUGCGGGACUUGUUUCCGACCCCGGUGCACCUAGUACUUCUAGAGGUCCGGGCGGCCCUAUUGAGGUCCCUGUUGCUGUUCGCGAACCUGAUGCGCGAACGCCAUUCUCAACUUUUGCCGCAGCACCUUUGUUGCAUAUGCCCACUGGGGCUGCCGAGAAUGUUCGUUUAAGGCCACUUGGCCCUACUGGUGAUGAACGUCUCCACUCCUUGCCUUCUUUGGCCCCUUUUGCUCUGCGCAACCCGCCUAAUACUCACAUGAAUCGUCCGGAUGUUCCAACGGUGAUACCAGAAACCCCGACGACAGAUGCGGACCACCGUGCUGCGGCUGCGCGUGCGUUAGCGGUGGAAGCGGCUGCUGCUGCUGGGGCUGCGGUUGCGGCGGCAGCCGCAGCCGAGCCAGAGCCUUUGCCUUCGGUUCGGCCGAUUUCUUCUGCCUACCUUCCUCGGGUUAGUUUACCGACUCCUGUUUUGCAGCUAGAUGCCAAGCUUGAUGCGAAGCAGACUGCUGCCCGCGUCAAGGCGUUUAUUCGUGACGCGUCUUUGUUUUUCGAAAUCGUGCCCUGGGGUAGGGACCAUCGUUCUUGCUGCCUGUUUUUGUCGCAAGCGCUCCUUGGCGCUGCAAAAACGUGGUAUGAUGAGUGGUCCCUAUCGCAGCGCGAACUCACUGCUCAGCUUGUUCUGGAUAACCUGCGUACGCGUUUCGCUCCUCAAGUUAUCUCUGUAGAACAAGAAGCACGACGUAGGCUCUCUGAAAAAUCUUUUGCGAUGCGUGCUAGUGAAAGUGUACCAGCUUACCUUUCGCGUCUUGAGGCCGUCUUCCAAGACAUACCCACGAUCACUCCUAGUGAGCGUAUGUUUUGGUUUUUCGAAGGCCUUUCUUCUUCCCUGCAGCCCCAUUGCGCCACAGACGUCUAUGGAAAGCCGUUUCCCUCUUACGACGCCCUGGUACAGCAUGCCUUGGGCCAGGAAGUGCGCGCCCUGUCUGAACGAAAAGUCCGUUCUGCUCUUCGUUCGAAUUCUGUUGUUUUGCAGGAUUAUGACGAAGAUGGGCCUCCAGUCAAGCGGGCGCGCGUGGACCCCGGUCCUCGUCUCGCUGCAGCUGUUGCUGGGGCCCCUAGGCAGACGGGAUGCGGAAGCGGUCCUGGGCGUAAUAGUCAUGGGGGUAGAACAGGUUCACGUGGCGGGCGCGGGGAUAGGGGUCGCGGCACUGGCCGUCCCAGUGCACCCGCUGGCGGAGAAUCCGCCACUCCGUUGGCGAAAGCUUGCGAGUUGACCAAGUGGGUCAACCAGUUCGGCCGUAGGUUGACGCACGGGGAGGUGGGAAUUCUCCGACAGCGUGCGGGCGGUAAGGCCGUCUGUUUUUGUUGUGAGGUGGUUAGUCCCGACCACCUCUACGACAACUGUCCCGCUCUCAAAAGGUUGUGUGAAGCGGGGCUGUGCUAGGAAUUUGCUCAGGGCGGUAUUGAGGGAUAUUACCCUGAGCUUCCUUUUGCGGGGAUUCGUUCUUUGGUCCGCGCGGUUAGACCCGCUGCGUUGGCAGAGUUUGAGAGUGCCGUUGGACGCCGUUUUUCUUUUGACGCCGUUGCUGUCAAACCGGGCUUUGACUCGGAAUGUAACAUAACGGUUCCUCGUGGUCGCACUCUCUGCUCGGUCGAUGUUGGUGGUCAUACUGUGCUUUUUGUCCCUGCAUCCCUCACUCAAUUGCGCGUUUCACUUCGGCACUACCUUGCAUGCAAGCACCGCCGUCCUGACACCGCGGCCGGCAUUUUGCUACCUUCGCAUAUCGCUCGGCGGGCUUCGAUGUUGCUAGCAGGUAUGUGCCGAGUGCUUACGUUUCCUGCGAAGUCCGUCCUUUUCAAUGGCCUUUCGCUUGAGGGUAAAACAGUAGAGCUUCCUGGUAUUCCGUACCCUGCUGAGUUGUGGUACGAUGCACCUUCACCUUGCCUCUCUGUUGCCCGGGAGCCCUUUGCUUCCUCUCUUUGCGCAGUUGCCUCCGGUUCUGUGGACACACGAGUUGCUUUGCCUCUGGUGUCUCUGCGGACUGGUGGCCAAACGUUUUCGGCAUUGGUGGACACAGGUGCUACUCACGACUUUAUUAGUGAGUCCCUUGUCCAACGGCUACACCUCCCGGUCCGCUCUUCGGACUGGUCCCAUGUUUCGCUCGCUGACGGAGGUAGGCAAGCAAUCGUGGGUCAGGUGUUGUUUCGCGUGGCAGUCGGGUCUUUGUACCUAACCGUCUCACCAUACGUUUUGCCGUCCUUGACUGAUGCUGCUCCUUUUAUUCUGGGGUCUGAUACUUUGCGUAAGCACUCUGCAUCCCUGGAUUUUCAGAACAAUAUUUUGCGUUUGUCAAAGGGUACUGUUCGGUACUCGAUUCCUUGGCGCGUGUCUUCUAAGGAUUCAGGUGACAGUGGUGCUGCCUCGUCGGCGCCCCUUGUUAAUUUUGCGGCUGCGGCCAUGUGUGCGCACGCCACCCCUGAGUCUAUUGGUCGUAAGGCUGCUAUGCGUCUUAUUCGCAAAGGGGCACAUGCUUUACUGGUUCGUCCUUCGGUUAGCCUUAACGCCACUUCUGUGAUUCCUCCCACUCAGGACCCUGAAGUUUCCGCACUGCUUGAGGAAUACGCUGAUGUCUUCCGGGAAAUUCCGGGUAUUCCUCCAGUCCGUCCGGUGGAUCACACAAUUCCGUUGGUGCCUGACGCCCAACCCGUCGCACGCCCUAUGUACCGACUUAGCCCUCUUGAGCUUGAUGAGGUCAAACGGCAGGUUACUGAGCUGCUUGCUAAAGGCAUGAUUCGCCCGAGUACGUCUCCCUUCUCUGCCCCGAUCUUGUUUGUGGGUAAGAAGGACGGUUCCCUACACAUGUGCAUAGACUACCGUGGGUUGAAUUCCAUGACCACUAAGAAUCGGUACCCUCUUCCGCGUGUAGACGAUUUGCUCGAUAAGCUUCGCGGGUCUGCUUACUUUAGCUCUAUAGAUCUGCAGCAGGGAUAUAAUGGACCCUAAGAAGACUGCUGCGGUGCGUGACUGGCCUGUCCCGACGUCCUUGCUUGAGCUGCGAAAGUUCCUAGGACUUACCAAUUACUUCCGCAAGUUUAUAGCCAAUUACUCGUCUCUCACCGCGCCGUUGACGAGUCUUACGCGCAAGGGAGCGUUUUCUUCCGCUGACGUUUGGACUGCUGAAUGUCAGGCGUCUUUUGAGGCUAUAAAACGUGCUGUUGCGGACGAUAUAGUGCUGCGUUUUCCCGAUUACUCUCAGCCUUUCCGUGUUGAGCUUAUUUCCGACGCCUCGCUGCACGGUACGGGGGCAGUUUUGCUUCAGAACGGUCGUCCUGUCGCGUUUUCCAGCAAGAAAUUUUCUGCUGCCGAACGCGGCUACACCACGGGUGAACAAGAGCUACUAGCCGUUGUUCACGCCCUGCGCGAAUGGCGCUGCUAUCUUGAGGGACGCCCGUUCGUUGUCAAAACCGACCACAAGCCUCUAACCUUCCUGCAGGGUGUUCCGACUCUUAACUGCCGCCAGGCGCGGUGGUUAGAAUAUAUGCAGCGUUUUAACUUCACUUGGGAACAUGUGUCUGGUUCUGUUAACGUUGCUGAUGCUUUGAGUCGCCAUCCUUCCUUGCACUCUGUCGUCCUGUCGGUUGUGACUUGACGUCAGUCUGUGGCUGCCGAUUUGACGAUUUCUGCUUUUGCUAAACGAAUCGUGGACGGAUACAAAACCGACCCUUGGUUCAACGAUCCCAAUAACGUCGACCAGUUGACCCGUGUCCAGGGUCUCUGGGUUCGCACUGAUGGUGAUCGACGUCAAACGGUUGUCCCUAAUGAUGAUUUGCUUCGCCGUGAUAUCCUUUCCCGUGUGCAUCAGGAUCCACUUUCCGGUCAUGUGGGUUCUACUCGCCUUAUUGAGUUGCUACGUCGCAACUUCUGGUGGCCACGGAUGGCUCGUGAUGCUGCUUCCUUUGUUGAGCAGUGUGACGUUUGCCAACGGCAGAAGCCAAUGUCUGGUAAGCAAUCGGGCCUGCUUCAGCCCUUGCCGAUCCCAGACUCGCCUUGGGAGAGUGUGUCGCUUGACUAUGUCGUCGCACUUCCUCUUUCCGAGGGGGGAUACGACGCUGUCCUCGUCAUUGUUGACCGCUUGACCAAGAUGGUACAUUUGGUACCGACCACCACGACAGUUACUGCGGAGCAAACCGCUCGACUGUUCUUUGAUAACGUGGUGCGUCUGCAUGGUGUUCCCAAACAAAUUAUUUCUGAUAGAGGACCUCAGUUUGGUGCCAAGUUUUGGGGAGCCCUUGGCACUUUGGCUAAUUUCCGAGUAAGCCUUUCUACUGCCUACCAUCCACAAACUGACGGUCAGACUGAGCGAAUGAAUCGCACUUUGGGUGAUAUGCUGCGUACUUACGCUGGCCACAACCCUCGUGUUUGGGACACCUAUCUUUCGGCUGCAGAAUUCGCGAUGAACAACGCUGUCAAUCGCUCUACGGGACAAUCUCCUUUCUUCUUAAAUUACGGGUUCCACCCAGCUACUCCCGUCUCACGUGAACUUGAUGUUCCGGUCCCGGCAGCCAAAUCCUUUAUUAAGUCGUACGUUGCUCGUAUUGCAGAAGCGAAGCAGUGUCUGGAAAAAGCCAUAGANNNNNNNNNNNNNNNNNNNNNNNNNNNNNNNNNNNNNNNNNNNNNNNNNNUUUUAUUCUGGGGUCUGAUACUUUGCGUAAGCACUCUGCAUCCCUGGAUUUUCAGAACAAUAUUUUGCGUUUGUCAAAGGGUACUGUUCGGUACUCGAUUCCUUGGCGCGUGUCUUCUAAGGAUUCAGGUGACAGUGGUGCUGCCUCGUCGGCGCCCCUUGUUAAUUUUGCGGCUGCGGCCAUGUGUGCGCACGCCACCCCUGAGUCUAUUGGUCGUAAGGCUGCUAUGCGUCUUAUUCGCAAAGGGGCACAUGCUUUACUGGUUCGUCCUUCGGUUAGCCUUAACGCCACUUCUGUGAUUCCUCCCACUCAGGACCCUGAAGUUUCCGCACUGCUUGAGGAAUACGCUGAUGUCUUCCGGGAAAUUCCGGGUAUUCCUCCAGUCCGUCCGGUGGAUCACACAAUUCCGUUGGUGCCUGACGCCCAACCCGUCGCACGCCCUAUGUACCGACUUAGCCCUCUUGAGCUUGAUGAGGUCAAACGGCAGGUUACUGAGCUGCUUGCUAAAGGCAUGAUUCGCCCGAGUACGUCUCCCUUCUCUGCCCCGAUCUUGUUUGUGGGUAAGAAGGACGGUUCCCUACACAUGUGCAUAGACUACCGUGGGUUGAAUUCCAUGACCACUAAGAAUCGGUACCCUCUUCCGCGUGUAGACGAUUUGCUCGAUAAGCUUCGCGGGUCUGCUUACUUUAGCUCUAUAGAUCUGCAGCAGGGAUAUAAUGGACCCUAAGAAGACUGCUGCGGUGCGUGACUGGCCUGUCCCGACGUCCUUGCUUGAGCUGCGAAAGUUCCUAGGACUUACCAAUUACUUCCGCAAGUUUAUAGCCAAUUACUCGUCUCUCACCGCGCCGUUGACGAGUCUUACGCGCAAGGGAGCGUUUUCUUCCGCUGACGUUUGGACUGCUGAAUGUCAGGCGUCUUUUGAGGCUAUAAAACGUGCUGUUGCGGACGAUAUAGUGCUGCGUUUUCCCGAUUACUCUCAGCCUUUCCGUGUUGAGCUUAUUUCCGACGCCUCGCUGCACGGUACGGGGGCAGUUUUGCUUCAGAACGGUCGUCCUGUCGCGUUUUCCAGCAAGAAAUUUUCUGCUGCCGAACGCGGCUACACCACGGGUGAACAAGAGCUACUAGCCGUUGUUCACGCCCUGCGCGAAUGGCGCUGCUAUCUUGAGGGACGCCCGUUCGUUGUCAAAACCGACCACAAGCCUCUAACCUUCCUGCAGGGUGUUCCGACUCUUAACUGCCGCCAGGCGCGGUGGUUAGAAUAUAUGCAGCGUUUUAACUUCACUUGGGAACAUGUGUCUGGUUCUGUUAACGUUGCUGAUGCUUUGAGUCGCCAUCCUUCCUUGCACUCUGUCGUCCUGUCGGUUGUGACUUGACGUCAGUCUGUGGCUGCCGAUUUGACGAUUUCUGCUUUUGCUAAACGAAUCGUGGACGGAUACAAAACCGACCCUUGGUUCAACGAUCCCAAUAACGUCGACCAGUUGACCCGUGUCCAGGGUCUCUGGGUUCGCACUGAUGGUGAUCGACGUCAAACGGUUGUCCCUAAUGAUGAUUUGCUUCGCCGUGAUAUCCUUUCCCGUGUGCAUCAGGAUCCACUUUCCGGUCAUGUGGGUUCUACUCGCCUUAUUGAGUUGCUACGUCGCAACUUCUGGUGGCCACGGAUGGCUCGUGAUGCUGCUUCCUUUGUUGAGCAGUGUGACGUUUGCCAACGGCAGAAGCCAAUGUCUGGUAAGCAAUCGGGCCUGCUUCAGCCCUUGCCGAUCCCAGACUCGCCUUGGGAGAGUGUGUCGCUUGACUAUGUCGUCGCACUUCCUCUUUCCGAGGGGGGAUACGACGCUGUCCUCGUCAUUGUUGACCGCUUGACCAAGAUGGUACAUUUGGUACCGACCACCACGACAGUUACUGCGGAGCAAACCGCUCGACUGUUCUUUGAUAACGUGGUGCGUCUGCAUGGUGUUCCCAAACAAAUUAUUUCUGAUAGAGGACCUCAGUUUGGUGCCAAGUUUUGGGGAGCCCUUGGCACUUUGGCUAAUUUCCGAGUAAGCCUUUCUACUGCCUACCAUCCACAAACUGACGGUCAGACUGAGCGAAUGAAUCGCACUUUGGGUGAUAUGCUGCGUACUUACGCUGGCCACAACCCUCGUGUUUGGGACACCUAUCUUUCGGCUGCAGAAUUCGCGAUGAACAACGCUGUCAAUCGCUCUACGGGACAAUCUCCUUUCUUCUUAAAUUACGGGUUCCACCCAGCUACUCCCGUCUCACGUGAACUUGAUGUUCCGGUCCCGGCAGCCAAAUCCUUUAUUAAGUCGUACGUUGCUCGUAUUGCAGAAGCGAAGCAGUGUCUGGAAAAAGCCAUAGACCGUACGACUAACUAUUACAACCGCGGCAGAGCCGAAGUUACCUUCAAAGAAGGCGACUUAGUGCUUUUAAGUACGAAAAAUCUGCGGCAGUUAGCCGUCGGACCUCGUAAACUAUUGCCGCGGUGGGUGGGUCCUUACCCUGUGAAGCGCAUGGUUGGCAAAGCAGCGGCCGAGCUUGUCCUACCGUCUGAUAUGCGCAUCCACCCCACCUUCCACGUAACGUUGUUGCGGCCUUACAAGGCGCCGGCGGAUGCGUUGGAUUCUUCAACUGUUCGCGACAGUUCUUCUGCACUUUCUAGUCCUGCAGGACCGCCGCCGGUUCAGUGGCUGAAGAGCGAUCCACUUUACUCGGUCGAGUGCAUACUGGAUUAUCGUGCCCGCCGCCUAGGAAGACGCCGUAAGGGGCUGGUGCACGAGUACCUCGUCAAAUGGACCGGGUAUUCCAAUGAACAUAAUAGCUGGGAGCCAGAGAAACACUUUACGCCCGACCUUCGCCCCGAACUUCAAGCAGUUAAGGCUCGUGCCACUAACACUGCGAGGACGCUGCGUCCUGAGGGGGGAUAGUUGUUGUGGCACACUUGCAUAUUAACCCUCGGAUCUUUCCCCAAUUCUCUGGCACUUUGCCGCUGGGCAAUAUCUUCACUCUUAUUUGGUUAACCAUUGGGCACUUGCCUAUCUCUUGGGCGCUGGCCCACCUUUAAGCGGGCACUUGCCUGUCUUUAUCACGCGUGAAACUGGAUUAUAGCGCUCUUGCUAUAAUCGUGACACUUGUCACUGGUAGACCCACUUGGGUUACGAUUGCACCGAUUGGUGAUAAUUCGCGUUGACGACUAUAUCUUCGGACCGUACAGACUUCUGUACGGGUCGUCCUAACGCAGAGGCAUUUAGCCUCUUCUCAUUCACUAAUCGGUAGUUUUCACUACCACCUAAACAGUGGAGGUGGAUACAACAGGAGUACAGGGGCAACUGACCAGAUUCUUGAGCCCGAUGGAUUUCGAUGCCAUCCAGAGAGACAGGGGUCACUGCUCUGGCGCAGCAGAGGGGGGGCCUGCAGGAGUUAACCCUCUGGGACCCCCCAGCGGCCCCAAGCCCAGAAGGGCGGUGGAUGAUGGCAGCGGGCUGAAUGGAGUGAGGGGGGGCAAGGGGGACAACAGCGGCAGUGGCCCCUCUAUCCCACCCCAGGGCAGUAGUGAAGGUGAUGCUGAGACGAGCUGGACAGUGAUGGGCAGGAAGGGGAGGAAGACCCCGGCGACGGCUGCAAAGGCUGCACCAGCAGAGACCAACCCCUUUUUGGUGCUGGCGGAGCUGAGGGGAGAGGAGGACGCCCCCACAGAUUUUCCUGCUCCAAUGGGGGGGAAUGACACCUAUGGCCACACAACAACCGGGGGACCAGCAGCAGCAACAACAUCCCCCGCAGCGAACCCCAAUGGGAUUUCUUCCACACCCACGGCCACGGCCGUGAAAGGAGCGCCGGCGGCAGCAGCACUGCCGGGGGCACCAGAAGCAGCAGCACUAGACCCAACCCCACCCCCCGCAGCGAACCCCAAUGGGAUUUCUUCCACACCCACGGCCACGGCCGUGAAAGGAGCGCCGGCGGCAGCAGCACUGCCGGGGGCACCAGAAGCAGCAGCACUGGACCCAACCCCACCCCCCGCAGCGAACCCCAAUGGGAUUUCAUCCGCACCCACGGCCACGGCCGUGGAAGGAGCACCGGCGACAGCAGCACUGCCGGGGGCACCAGAAGCAGUAGUACUGGACCUAACCCCACCCUCAGCGGCACCGGACCUCCAUAAGGGGAAAGCAUGCAAGCCCCGCAAGACCCAAGGAAUAAAGAAAAUCCGCAGGCCAGACCUGACGGGGGAAGCCAGGCGCACGUUCUUUCUGGCGCAAACAGCUGCAGCCCGAGCAGCCCGCAAACAAUCCGCAGAACUGGACCAGCGAACUAAGGACCAGAAGCGGCUGAUCCAUAAAACGUCGGCAGCGGAGAGACGCAGCGAGCUUAUCCAGUCUGCCCGUAAGCAGAAGGCGAAAGAUGCCGAAGCCACCCAGGGGACCCAGGCCUCGGGGAGGGAGCUGGGGACUGCUGCAGCGGAGGGGGACGACACGAUUAUGGAGGCGGAAUCGAUGGGCUCCCCAUCCCAGAGCCUAAUAUUACACCUCCCCACCGCCUCCCAACCUGGUUUUAAAGACCAGCCCACUGCCACCCCCACCCAACUCUGUUGAUGGAAGCAACGACCACAAUCAAGUGCCAACAGGGCGCAAUGCAGGGACGGCCACUUCGUAUUGCAACACAGAACAUGCAGGGUCUGCUGGCCAAACACAAGGACAAGAUUCAUGCAGCAGCCAAACAGUGGAUAGAGAUGGGGCUGGAUGUGAUCUGCCUGCAGGAAACCCACCACACCAAUGCCCACCACCAAUCCCUGUUUGAACGCGAGCUAAGCAUGGCAGCUGCAACAGCCCACAGCCAGGGCUGGCGAGUAGUGGCCAGCUCGUGGUCUAACUCCAUCCACACGGGGGGCGUCCUUACCCUCGUCCGACAAGGCCUAACAGCUACCGUGGAGACCAAGCCUAAUAAGCCGAGUGUACAGGGUCGGCUGACGAGCUGCCUGCUUCGCUGGGGAGGACACUGCAUUGAGGUCUGCAACAUCUAUGUCCCCACCGGCACUACUCAUAGAGCAGCAGCCCUCAGGCAAGAACUGAUCAGCAACAUCCUGGCAGCAACGGCCACGCAGGCAGAUACAAACAAUGACACCACCCUUAUAUGGGCGGGGGACUUCAACUUUGUCGAAAACCCAGUGCUGGACUCCACAGCGGGGGAGGAUGGGCGGAGGGGAGAUGGCCCCAUAGCAGAAAUGCUCCGCACAGCUGGGCCAGCCAUGAUGGAUAGUCACCGUCAGCUUCAUCCCCUGCGCCAUGACUACACCCACCUCUACCGAGCGCCCCGCCCAGGAGGCUCCCGACUGGAUCGCAUUUAUGUGAAUCAAGCCGUGAUGCCGUAUGUUGCUCGCACGGAGAUUAUCCAGCACACCCCCUCAGAUCACCAGCCGAUGGUCCUACACCUGCUGCCUCGCCGGGUUGAACAGAGGGGCCCGGGCAUUCGCCGGGUGCGCAUGGCCUUCACGGCGCAUGAAGACCUGGCCACGAGCCUGGAGGCCUGGAUUACCGACCAGUGUGCCGCGGCCCCAUCUGUGGAGGACAAUCCUGCUGGCCUGAUCGAGUGGUGGCCUGCCUUCAAACGCCGCCUCGCUACUCGUGCACAUCAGCUCAACAAAACAGCGCAACAUCGCAGGCUGCACCCAGGAGCCCGUGUACAAGCAGCCCUACCAGCAGUCCAGCAGGCCCGACAAAGGGUCGACACAGAGCCCGGAGCACAGCAGCCCUUACAGCAACUGGUGGACGCACAGGCGGCACUAGCACGGGCCCACCGAGAGGACUGCAGCAAGGAGGCGAUGGAGGCCCGCAUACACUGGCUACGGGCAGGGGAGCGGCCGAGCCCAGCCAUGACUGCAUUCAUCCAGGCCCAAAGCGCGGACCAACAACCAGCUCCCGUCGCCCUGCAAGCCCAGUCCGGCCGCCUAGUGACUAAUCCUAGCCAGCUUCCCCAGGUGGUCGCAGACUUCUGGAGUGAAGUGAGCCGAACUCCCAACUACAUCUGCCCCCAAGCCCAGCAGGAGGUGCUAAACUCCCUGGCGGCCGCCAACAUCUCGCUACCCGCAGAGGCAGAUGAACAGCUGGGAUCCAGAACCAUCACGGCCACCGAGUUACGAAAGGCUCUUAAGAAAAGCCAGCCUGGCAAGGCCCCGGGGUGGGACGGCAUCCCAGCCGACAUCUACAGGAAAUUCUGGUCGGCCAUUGGCACCACCAUGGCUGGCCUGCUCACCGCCAUAGGCUUGACGGGGCAGGUGCCGAAGGGCUUCUUGGAGGGGGUACUGACGGUGAUCUACAAAAAAGGCGACCCCAAACUCCCUGGCAACUACCGUCCUAUCACCCUGCUUUGUUCGGACUACCGACUGCUCACCAAAGUGCUGGCCAACCGCCUAAGCCCUGCCCUUGGCCAAGUCAUAACCCCCGAGCAAUCAGCCUUCCUACCUAGGCGCCUCAUUGGAGCUAGUGUGCUAUUCCUGCGUCACCUGUCACACCUCCUUCGCAAGCAGAACCGCCGGGGGCUCCUGGCAUUCCUGGACUUCGCCAAGGCCUAUGACACGGUGGAUCGUGGGUUCCUCCUGGCAGCAAUGGAGACCAUGGGUGCAGGGCCACAGCUCUGCGCCUGGGUACGGCUGCUGCUGAGCGAAACACGAGCCAGAGCGAUGGUGAAUGGCUACAAAUCGAAGCUGGUGAACAUGGAAGCAGGGGUACGGCAAGGGUGCCCCCUCACACCCUUGCUCUACCUCUUCGUUGCUCAGGCCCUACAAUGCUGACUCCGGAGCCAAGACGUGGGGAUCAAAUUACAGCCAGCCGACUCACAACCAGUCACCGCGUGCCAAUAUGCGGAUGACACGGAAGUGGCGCUGCAGGGUGAAGACUCAGUACCAUCAUUCCUCCAGGCCAUGGACACCUUUGCCCGGGUGUCUGGCCAACGCCUAAAUCUCGACAAAGUGGAGCUGCUGUGGAUUGGCCAAUUAAACCAACAGCAGGCGCAACCUGCAACCCAGGCCGGACCCCAAUCAGCUGCCCCUCAGCAGGAGUCAAUAGGAGGUCUCAAGGUGGUGACCACCGCCACCGCCCUGAACCCGCCAAUUGACAACCAGCCAUCCCCGCCACAGCCCGACUGGAUGAAGAGACUCAGGGAAGCCAAGCGGCGACUGCAGCGGCUCUCCCGCUUCCCGCUAUCAGCAUUUGGUCGAGCCACAGCGGCAUCGGUGUACGGAAUGCACACAGUCACCUGGCACAUGGAGCAUGGUGGGCCGCCCCCCAACCGUACGCUGGACGAAAUAGAACGCCUAACGGCCCGCCUCGUCGACCGGCAGCAGGGCCCAGAAGACCCCGGCCGCCGUUUGACAGGGGUGCCUAAGGAUCUCUUGACCGGCCACCCGUCGGCUGGAGGCUUUGGCCUGCUGCCCCUCCAGCAACACAUCCAGGCUCGGCAUGCGGUAUGGGCUGUGCACUUCAUCAUAGCGGCCCUCGGGCUAUCUAACGCGUCAUGUGGGACAGGGACAGGUGGAGCUGCAGGAACCACAGGUGGUACCGGGGGACACGGGAGGGCAGAUGGUAGUCUCCAUCCCUGGGUCCGGACGCUCUCCGCCUAUAUGCUGCUCACCCACCCCGCCUUCCAACCGUGGGCCCUGACGACCGCCAGCCAAGCCGGGCCCCGACUCGGCGGAAGCGACCUACCCACGGAUAUCAGCCGGAUUGUGGGAGCCCUGGGACACCUACCACCGCUCCGGGAUAUCGAGACCAGCCCCCUGUCCCCCGGACCGUGGUGCUGGGCAACCGUGUUGUGGGGUAACCCGUUGCUCCCCAAUACCGGCGAGGCAGACCCAGACAGUUUGAACCGCCGCCCGGGCCUGGAGACGCACUUCGUGGGGAUCGCUACAUGCAGGAAACUGCAAACGGUGGGCGACCUAGUGCGGGUCUGGGACCUAGUGGUGCAUACUCGAGUGGCCUCCCUCCCCAGGUCGACCUGGCCCGAAUGGGUCAGGACACACCUCGACCCAUCAACCCCAGCACCCACACGAGACAGGUCAGCGACCCUGGCAGCCCUUAAGACGCUACAUGGCGCUAUCAACCCGGCCUGGCUCGAAGCUGCAAGAGCAGUGGAAACCCAACAGCAACAGCAACCCCAGCCGCAGACACAGCUGCAGCCACAGCCGCAGUCACAGCCACAGCCGCAGCCACAGCCGCAGCCACAGCCGCAGCCACAGCCGCAGCCACAGCCGCAGCCACAGCCGCAGCCACAGCCGCAGCCACAGCCGCAGCUACAGCCGCAGCCUCAGCCGCAGCCACAGCCGCAGGUACAGCCACAACAGCUGCAAACACAACCACAGCUACAGACACAGCAUCAGCCGCAGCCGCAACAGCAGCAACAGCCACAGCAACAGCUACAGAUGCAGCCGCAUGAGCAGCAACCCCAACAGCAGCAGCCAGGGAGGCCAACGGCGGGGGAUAUGGCGGCUCCAAGCACCCCCAACAGCACUCAGGCGAUGGCUAUGAUCCUAAAGUGGGUCGGAUGGCAGAUGCCGGGCGGCACAACAACCGUCCCACUCACACGCCUGACGGUCCGCCUAGCGACACAGCUGCAAUGCGGGGCCACCGAGGAGAAACGGGGACGCUUGAUGGCAGCAUUUGUGCAAGAAGUGUUGCACCCGCAGGAAACGGCACCUUCCUCCUCAGUGGAAACAAGCCGCUUCAGGGCGACGCAAGCCCGCUUGUGGUCGGGGGUGCGGUGGGAGAACGAGAACAAAGAAACACUGUGGCGGCUCACCGUGGACGGCAUCCCCCUGCCCGGCAACACGCACCUGGCCCGCAUGGUGCCGGAGCGCUGUGGGUGUGGAGGGUUCGGCAACGCCAGCAACCAGCACUGCUCCCCACGCAUGCACCACUUCUGGGAGUGCCCCGUCGCACAAGCUGUCCGGGAGCAGAUUGAUCGACACAUACAGCCCUCCCAGGAGGCAGCGACAGGCGGCAUCACCCGGAAGCAGCUGUGGUUGGUCCAAGCCCCGACCGGCUGCGAGCAGGCCCCCUGGGAUGUGAUCGCCCUGGCAGCCCUGUCUGCCAUGGAGGUAGGCAGGUGCUGUCUGCGAGCAGCCGGAAGGCGACUGGAAAGGGCGGCUAACCCCGCGACAGAACAGCCAGAGCAAGUGCAACAGAUCCAGGUGCAAGGGCCCCAACAGCGGCGGAUAACGGACUUCUUUCACCUGGCCAACGGAGUGAGACCGCACGAGGGGCCGCCGCUGAACGCGCCGGUACUCGAGGAUCCAACGCAGGGGCCCAUCGCGGGACCGGGGACGGCAACAGCAGCAGCAACAGCAGCAGCAACAGCAGCAGCAGCAGCAGCAACAGCAGCAGCAACCCCCCUGGAAUACGCCCGUGCUCGGGCAGUAGUGGACUUCUGGGCGCGCUUGCGCUCUUUCACCACGCUUAAUGUCCCAAGGCGGGGCUGGGACGAAGUGGGACCCCACCACCCGAUCCUGUCAAUCGUCGGGGGAGCACUGCGCUGCGCGAAGGCGGUGGACAUCACGACCUAAUGGUCAAGCGGACACGGCGGGAGCUGGAGUUUAGGGGAUAAGGGGAUAGGGUGUCGAGGCGCGGAGGGGGGUUUUGAGGUGGUGGGGGUGGUAGGGAGGUCGAGAGGGAGGUUGAGGGGAUAUGUUGCGAGGGGGGCGGGAUCAGGGAUGGGGCUUGGGGGGUUGCCGUGCAAGGGGACAUGGGGGAGGGAGGGUUUAUUUGCCUGGGGGAGCCGUACCUGCGGAGGGGGGGGAGACCGGGGAAAGGGCGGGGAGAGCCGGGGGGGGAGGGGAAGAGGUAGAGAGUACACCAAGAGGAUGUAGGGUUGAGGGGUGGUGAGUGGAAACAGGUGGCCGUAGCGAGGGCGCGGAUGAGGGGGAGGUGGGCACCCAGAAGGGGGGGCCGUACUCGAAGGUGCGCGUGUGGUGCAGGACUAGGUUCUUCAGGGUACGAGACCGGGUUUUUCGUGGUGCGGCGUCUAGGUGAGAUAGGAUCUUGGGAACCAGCCGUCUUGGUAGAGCGGUAUUGGGGGGGCGCCGAGCUGGCUACCCUCCCCCCCUGUGGUUUCCGGAGGCUUGAUCGCCCGGCGUUGCCGCAGGGUCUUCCCGUUUGAGUACUUUUCAAUUUAGACCCAGUGCUGUGGAAGGGCGCGGACUUGUGCGGUGUUACCCCCUCGACGGGGGCUAUCUCCCCUGGACUAGCCCAGGGAGGGAGAGGCGGAGGAGGGUAGUAGUCUCAGGAGGCUGUUUGGCGUCUUGUGGUGUGAGCUCUAUGCGCUCUUUUUUGCGUGAGGAUUUUUGAGCUUGGUCACCUCCCCAGCCCGGGAAGACUCGUUGGGCUCCCGGUCGCCCAAGUCCUGGUAGCGAGCUCUCUGAGAUGCUCGGUUCGUUCGGUCGGCAGGUAGAGCCCCCCAGUUGAGACUUCGUUUAGGUUAGGAGACCAACGGGCAUAGAUCCCGUCUAGUUGGAGCGCCAAACAAGCGCUGUUGCGUGCCGGCCGUCGUUUCCCGUGCGGCCUGACCCGGGGGCGGAGUGCAUGAGACUAACCAGCCGUAUGCACCCGCCCCCCGCGCUGUGCUUCGGCCCUGGGCCCCCGGCUUUUCAGCCCACAGUGUAAUCAACGUCAUACAUACAUACAUGGAUGAGACCAAGCUUGACUAAGCUGCUACUAUGACUGUUGGCCAACCGCGGCCGUGGCCACCGACAGCGACCUCAAUUGUUUGAGCGUAGUUAUGUUUAUCUAAUUAGCCUGAAAAUGUUGCAGAGGCGAGCAGCAGUGUCUGUUAGCUGCGGCAAUGUUCAAAAUGGCCGCCAGCCGACCUCAGCCGUGAGACCGCAAUCCAUACCGACCAAAAAGAUAAAGGCCGUCAGUGGCUUUUACGGAACAAAUGAAGGCUUGGCUAUCUACAGAGCCACACUAGAACUGGAACCGAUCGUGGUGACAGUCCGGUGGCCAGCGGGCUCAGAUACGGGCGACAUCAUCGCGCAAAUAUACGGUCCAUUAGGACUUCAAAUUCUGGCAACAAUUGGCCAAAUCUUCCGCAGCAACCAGGAGUUCAACCGUAUACUAAGGGUUUUAUACAUACAUGCAUACAUACAUGCAUACAUGCAUGCAUACAUGCAUACAUACAUGCAUACAUGCAUACAUACAUGCAUACAUGCAUGCAUACAUGCAUACAUACAUGCAUACAUGCAUGCAUACAUGCAUACAUANN
rnacentral:lncRNA from 1 species